CGGGUGAGUAACACGUGGGCAACCUUUCCUCUCGCGGGGGAUAACACCGGGAAACCGAUGCUAAUACCGCAUGUCGUCACUGAUCGCAUGAUUGGUGAAGAAAGCCGCAAGGCACGAGAGGCUGGGCCCGCGGCCUAUCAGCUUGUUGGUGGGGUAACGGCCUACCAAGGCGAUGACGGGUAGCUGGUCUGAGAGGACGGCCAGCCACACGGGGACUGAGACACGGCCCCG
rnacentral:rRNA from 1 species